rnacentral:rRNA from 1 species
ACCCGCACAAGCGGUGGAGCAGUUGUGGUUUAAUUCGACGAUACACGAAGAACCUUACCUGGACUUGACAUAGUAAGAACUUUCUAGAGAUAGAUUGGUGUCUGCUUGCAGAAACUUAUAUACAGGUGCUGCACGGCUGUCGUCAGCUCGUGUCGUGAGAUGUUGGUUAAGUCCCGCAACGAGCGCAACCCUCGUCAUUAGUUGCUAACAGUUCGGCUGAGAACUCUAAUGAGACUGCCUACGCAAGUAGGAGGAAGGUGAGGACGACGUCAAGUCAUCAUGGCCCUUACGUCCAGGGCUACACACGUGCUACAAUGGGGUAUACAAAGAGCCGCAAUACGGUGACGUGGAGCAAAUCUCAAAAAUAUCUCCCAGUUCGGAUUGUAGUCUGCAACUCGACUACAUGAAGUUGGAAUCGCUAGUAAUCGCGGAUCAGCACGCCGCGGUGAAUACGUUCCCGGGCCUU